AGUAGGUGCCAGGUGUACUGGUUUGAAUGGGGUAUGGUGGUAGGUACCAGGUGUACUGGUUUGAAUGGGGUAUGGUGGUAGGUGCCAGGUGUACUGGUUUGAAUGGGGUAUGGUGGUAGGUACCAGGUGUACUGGUUUGAAUGGGGUAUGG